UACCGCAAUCGUCUUCUUCCGGAAAAUGCCGAAGCUCAAAUAUGUCUUGGUUCUUGGUUAGAGGAGGUUCCUUCUUUGGAAGAUAUUGAAGGACAUCUGUUGGUGCAUGAUUUUAGUGAUAUUCAAAAUUUUGAAUCUGAAGGAGGAUGGUGAAGUGCUUGUUAGAAGAUUUGUCAUCUAUUAAGGAGGUGUGUGUUGAUUGUGGUAGCAGCAGUGAUGCUUAUACUUGCAGUAAUUGGUUUUGGUAUGUAUUCU